GUACUACUGAGGAAUCCCAUAAUAGGAUGAAAUGAUCGUCCAGUGC
rnacentral:hammerhead_ribozyme from 1 species